UACUGGGCGUAAAGCGUGCGCAGGCGGAUUGUCAAGCAAGACGUGAAAGCCCCGGGCUUAACCUGGGAAUGGCGUUUUGAACUGGCAGUCUAGAGUGCGUCAGAGGGGGGUAGAAUUCCACGUGUAGCAGUGAAAUGCGUAGGGAUGUGGAGGAACACCAAUGGCGAAGGCAGCCCCCUGGGAUGACACUGACGCUCAUGUACGAAAGCGUGGGUAGCAAACAGGAUUAGAUACCCUGGUAGUCCACGCCCUAAACGAUGCCAACUGGUUGUUGGGGGAGUGAAAUCCCUUAGUAACGAAGCUAACGCGUGAAGUUGACCGCCUGGGGAGUACGGUCGCAAGAUUAAAACUCAAAGGAAUUGACGGGGACCCGCACAAGCGGUGGAUGAUGUGGAUUAAUUCGAUGCAACGCGAAAAACCUUACCUACCCUUGACAUGUCCAGGAUCCUGCAGAGAUGCGGGAGUGCCCGAAAGGGAAUUGGAACACAGGUGCUGCAUGGCUGUCGUCAGCUCGUGUCGUGAGAUGUUGGGUUAAGUCCCGCAACGAGCGCAACCCUUAUCAUUAGUUGCUACGCAAGGGCACUCUAAUGAGACUGCCGGUGACAAACCGGAGGAAGGUGGGGAUGACGUCAAGUCCUCAUGGCCCUUAUGGGUAGGGCUUCACACGUCAUACAAUGGUCGGUACAGAGGGUUGCCAAGCCGCGAGGUGGAGCCAAUCCCAGAAAGCCGAUCGUAGUCCGGAUUGUUCUCURCAACUCGAGAGCAUGAAGUCGGAAUCGCUAGUAAUCGCGGAUCAGCAUGUCGCGGUGAAUACGUUCCCGGGUC
rnacentral:rRNA from 1 species